GACGAACGCUUGCGGCGUGCUUAACACAUGCAAGUCGAACGGAAAGGCCCUGCUUUUGUGGGGUGCUCGAGUGGCGAACGGGUGAGUAACACGUGAGUAACCUGCCCUUGACUUUGGGAUAACUUCAGGAAACUGGGGCUAAUACCGGAUAGGAGCUCCUGCUGCAUGGUGGGGGUUGGAAAGUUUCGGCGGUUGGGGAUGGACUCGCGGCUUAUCAGCUUGUUGGUGGGGUAGUGGCUUACCAAGGCUUUGACGGGUAGCCGGCCUGAGAGGGUGACCGGCCACAUUGGGACUGAGAUACGGCCCAGACUCCUACGGGAGGCAGCAGUGGGGAAUAUCGCACAAUGGGCGGAAGCCUGAUGCAGCAACGCCGCGUGCGGGAUGACGGCCUUCGGGUUGUAAACCGCUUUCGCCUGUGACGAAGCGUGAGUGACGGUAAUGGGUAAAGAAGCACCGGCUAACUACGUGCCAGCAGCCGCGGUGAUACGUAGGGUGCGAGCGUUGUCCGGAUUUAUUGGGCGUAAAGGGCUCGUAGGUGGUUGAUCGCGUCGGAAGUGUAAUCUUGGGGCUUAACCCUGAGCGUGCUUUCGAUACGGGUUGACUUGAGGAGAGUAGGGGAGAAUGGAAUUCCUGGUGGAGCGGUGGAAUGCGCAGAUAUCAGGAGGAACACCAGUGGCGAAGGCGGUUCUCUGGGCCUUUCCUGACGCUGAGGAGCGAAAGCGUGGGGAGCGAACAGGCUUAGAUACCCUGGUAGUCCACGCUGUAAACGGUGGGUACUAGGUGUGGGGUCCAUUCCACGGGUUCCGUGCCGUAGCUAACGCUUUAAGUACCCCGCCUGGGGAGUACGGCCGCAAGGCUAAAACUCAAAGGAAUUGACGGGGCCCCGCACAAGCGGCGGAGCAUGCGGAUUAAUUCGAUGCAACGCGUAGAACCUUACCUGGGUUUGACAUGGAUCGGGAGUGCUCAGAGAUGGGUGUGCCUCUUUUGGGGUCGGUUCACAGGUGGUGCAUGGCUGUCGUCAGCUCGUGUCGUGAGAUGUUGGGUUAAGUCCCGCAACGAGCGCAACCCUUGUUCACUGUUGCCAGCACGUUAUGGUGGGGACUCAGUGGAGACCGCCGGGGUCAACUCGGAGGAAGGUGGGGAUGACGUCAAGUCAUCAUGCCCCUUAUGUCCAGGGCUUCACGCAUGCUACAAUGGCUGGUACAGAGAGUGGCGAGCCUGUGAGGGUGAGCGAAUCUCGGAAAGCCGGUCUCAGUUCGGAUUGGGGUCUGCAACUCGACCUCAUGAAGUCGGAGUCGCUAGUAAUCGCAGAUCAGCAACGCUGCGGUGAAUACGUUCCCGGGGCU
rnacentral:rRNA from 1 species